AAAGGAUAAAAAGAAAGGGAGCCUGCAACCUUUGAUCCAUUGCUUGAAGAUCAAUUUUAUCCUGUACUUCAAAUCAUUUGUCAUGUUUAACAAGAUCUAGAUUUCAAAUCAAUUUGAAACUGAUACUAAUCAUCUCUUCUCCAGAUUUCUAAUUCUUGAUUGUCGUCCGAUGAUCGAACAGGAUUCACUUAAAAAUGUAAUACCAACUCAUACAUCUUCUAGCAUCUCAUUACGCUAACCCGGUGGGUCUAUGAAAGGUGGGACCGGUGAACACUCAACUGCAGAGCAAGGUUUUUACUAUCCGCCUACUAGCUUUUGCCCUCAAGGCUACCCAUAUAGACAUUUAACUGUUGAUUUAAUUAGGUCUUGCGAAAUGAUAAUUUACCUUUAGUGUCUUAACUUUGGGUUUAGUUUAGAUACAAUAUUUCAUGUUUGUGUUUUUGCUAUUAUAGUUAUAUAAUGGAGGUUAUACUCUGGAUGCUGGCAGUUCUUCCUAUAAAAUGAUGGUUCACAUCUCUAUUAUCUGCCUACCUAUAACAGUUAUCUUGCUGCCUCAUAUAUGUGUGUUGAUGGGAAUCAGCCCUACUAUUUUACAUCUGGAUAUCAACAGAAUGCUGAUGGAUAUGAAUUAAAAGUCAUGUGAGAAAACUACUUGAAUGCAGCGCAAGCUAGCAAUGCCACACGCGGGGCAACUGCUGUACAUGGUGGAGCAAAAUUCUCUUUGUACUCUGACAUUUCAGAAAAUGAAAAGAUACAACUUUCUUGAUAGUAUAGCACCGGUAGAAUUGGUUCUUGAUUCUUUAUCUAGAAUUUAUUAAAAUUGGCUUCGAUUUUGGAUGGAU